rnacentral:tRNA from 1 species
CAAAACAUAGCUAUGAACGAAAGCCUCUCUUUUACACAGAGAAAAUACUUGUGCAACUCAAGUUGUUUUGA